AAAAGUGAAAGACGGUCUUGCUGUCACUUAUAGAUGGAUCCGCGCUGCAUUAGCUAGUUGGUAAGGUAACGGCUUACCAAGGCAACGAUGCAUAGCCGACCUGAGAGGGUGAUCGGCCACACUGGAACUGAGACACGGUCCAGACUCCUACGGGAGGCAGCAGUAGGGAAUCUUCCGCAAUGGGCGAAAGCCUGACGGAGCAACGCCGCGUGAGUGAUGAAGGUCUUCGGAUCGUAAAACUCUGUUAUUAGGGAAGAACAUAUGUGUAAGUAACUGUGCACAUCUUGACGGUACCUAAUCAGAAAGCCACGGCUAACUACGUGCCAGCAGCCGCGGUAAUACGUAGGUGGCAAGCGUUAUCCGGAAUUAUUGGGCGUAAAGCGCGCGUAGGCGGUUUUUUAAGUCUGAUGUGAAAGCCCACGGCUCAACCGUGGAGGGUCAUUGGAAACUGGAAAACUUGAGUGCAGAAGAGGAAAGUGGAAUUCCAUGUGUAGCGGUGAAAUGCGCAGAGAUAUGGAGGAACACCAGUGGCGAAGGCGACUUUCUGGUCUGUAACUGACGCUGAUGUGCGAAAGCGUGGGGAUCAAACAGGAUUAGAUACCCUGGUAGUCCACGCCGUAAACGAUGAGUGCUA
rnacentral:rRNA from 1 species